rnacentral:tRNA from 1 species
GGUAGCGUGGCCGAGCGGUCUAAGGCACUGGUUUAAGGCACCAGUCUCCUCGGAGGGCGUGGGUUCGAAUCCCACCGCUGCCA